GGGGGUUGUUUGGGGGUCCCUGCGCCCCCUCCCCAAUAUAAGAAUUCAAUAUGGGGAUGCUGGGGGUCCCUGCGCCCCCUCCCCAAUAUAAGAAGGCAAUAGGGGGUUGUUUGGGGGUCCUGAGCCCCCUCCCCAAUAUAAGCAGGCAAUAUGGGGAUGCUGGGGGUCCCUGUGCCCCCUCCCCAAUAUAAGGAGUCAAUAGAGGGAUGAUGGGGGUCCCUGUGCCCCCUCCCCAAUAUAAGGAGUCAAUAUGGGGAUGCUGGGGGUCCCUGAGCCCCCUCCCCAAUAUAAGGAGUCAAUAUGGGGAUGCUGGGGGUCCCUGUGCCCCCUCCCCAAUAUAAGCAGUCAAUAUGGGGAUGCUGGGGGUCCCUGUGCCCCCUCCCCAAUAUAAGAAGUCAAUAUGGGGAUGCUGGGGGUCCCUGAGCCCCCUCCCCAAUAUGAGAAGUCAAUAUGGGGAUGCUGGGGUGGGUGGGGGGGUUGUUUGGGGGUCCCUGAGCCCCCUCCCCAAUAUAAGGAGUCAAUACGGGGAUGCUGGGGUUGUUUGGGGGUCCCUGUGCCCCCUCCCCAAUAUAAGGAGUCAAUAUGGGGUUGUUUGGGGGUCCCUGUGCCCCCUCCCCAAUAUAAGGAGUCAAUAUGGGGAUGCUGGGGGUCCGUGUGCCCCCUCCCCAAUAUAAGGAGUCAAUAUGGGGAUGCUGGGGGUCCCUGUGUCCCCUCCCCAAUAUAAGGAGUCAAUAUGGGGAUGCUGGGGGUCCCUGCACCCCCUCCCCAAUAUAAGGAGUCAAUAUGGGGAUGCUGGGGGUCCCUGUGUCCCCUCCCCAAUAUAAGCAGUCGAUAUGGGGAUGCUGGGGGUCCCUGCGCCCCCUCCCCAAUAUAAGGAGUCAAUAUGGGGAUGCUGGGGGUCCCUGAGCCCCCUCCCCAAUAUAAGAAGGCAAUAGGGGGAUGCUGGGGGUCCCAGUGCCCCCUCCCCAAUAUAAGGAGUCAAUAGGGGGAUGCUGGGGUUGUUUGGGGGUCCCUGUGCCCCCUCCCCAAUCUGAGCAGUCAAUAUGGGGAUGCUGGGGGUCCCUGCGCCCCCUCCCCAAUAUGAGCAGUCAAUAGGGGGAUGAUGGGGUGGGUGGGGGGGUUGUUUGGGGGUCCCAAACCCCCU
rnacentral:lncRNA from 1 species